GACGAACGCUGGCGGCGUGCUUAACACAUGCAAGUCGAACGCUGAAGCCUAGCUUGCUGGGUGGAUGAGUGGCGAACGGGUGAGUAACACGUGAGUAACCUGCCCUCUUCUUUGGGAUAACGCCCGGAAACGGGUGCUAAUACUGGAUAUUCACUGGCCUUCGCAUGGGGGUUGGUGGAAAGGUUUUUUCUGGUGGGGGAUGGGCUCGCGGCCUAUCAGCUUGUUGGUGGGGUGAUGGCCUACCAAGGCUUUGACGGGUAGCCGGCCUGAGAGGGUGACCGGUCACAUUGGGACUGAGAUACGGCCCAGACUCCUACGGGAGGCAGCAGUGGGGAAUAUUGCACAAUGGGCGAAAGCCUGAUGCAGCGACGCCGCGUGAGGGAUGGAGGCCUUCGGGUUGUAAACCUCUUUCGCUCACGGUCAAGCCGCAG
rnacentral:rRNA from 1 species